rnacentral:rRNA from 1 species
CAGUAGCCGCGGGAAUACGUAGGGGGCGAGCGUUAAUCGGAAUUACUGGGCGUAAAGCGUGCGCAGGCGGUGAUGUAAGACAGUUGUGAAAUCCCCGGGCUCAACCUGGGAACUGCAUCUGUGACUGCAUCGCUGGAGUGCGGCAGAGGGGGAUGGAAUUCCGCGUGUAGCAGUGAAAUGCGUAGAUAUGCGGAGGAACACCGAUGGCGAAGGCAAUCCCCUGGGCCUGCACUGACGCUCAUGCACGAAAGCGUGGGGAGCAAACAGGAUUAGAUACCCGCGUAGUCCCUGUCUCUUAUAC